GUAUGAAUAGUUUAAUAUUCCUGCAUUUAUUCUCAUCUAUUUUUUUUUUAUAUACUUCAUUCAUUUGUGCAACAAGCAUCCUAAAAUCUUGUUCACUCUCAGAGAGAAGAACAGUGUCUUCAACAUACAAACAACAAACAUUACCACUCACUUUAUAUACUUACUACCCAUCUUCACUUCUAAUUUAUUCACAGCCAUUUUCCUCACACACACAUCCAAGUAUACAGUAAAUAAUGAGACAUCACAUACAUCCUUUUUGUCUCUCUUUCUCAAUUGUAAACCACUCUGAUAUUCCUUCAUUUACUCUUACAUGUGCACAACUAUUAGCCUACAUUACUCUCAUUGCCCCAAGCAGCUGUUCAUUCACACCAUAUUCCCUCAUUA
rnacentral:lncRNA from 1 species